rnacentral:rRNA from 1 species
CCUACGGGGUGCAGCAGUGGGGAAUAUUGGACAAUGGGCGAAAGCCUGAUCCAGCCAUGCCGCGUGUGUGAAGAAGGCCUUCGGGUUGUAAAGCACUUUCAGUGGGGAAGAAAGCCUUGGGGCUAAUACCCUCGAGGAAGGACAUCACCCACAGAAGAAGCACCGGCUAACUCCGUGCCAGCAGCCGCGGUAAUACGGAGGGUGCGAGCGUUAAUCGGAAUUACUGGGCGUAAAGCGCGCGUAGGCGGUCUGAUAAGCCGGUUGUGAAAGCCCCGGGCUCAACCUGGGAACGGCAUCCGGAACUGUCAGGAGAGAGUGCAGGAGAGGAAGGUAGAAUUCCCGGUGUAGCGGUGAAAUGCGUAGAGAUCGGGAGGAAUACCAGUGGCGAAGGCGGCCUUCUGGACUGACACUGACGCUGAGGUGCGAAAGCGUGGGUAGCAAACAGGAUUAGAUACCCUGGUAGUC